GGGGACAUGGUUCAGAGACACAAUGCCUGCUUGGCAAGUAUGAGGCCCUGGGUUCAAUUCCCGGUUACCUCC
rnacentral:tRNA from 1 species